CGUUCAGAGGUUACCUCUAUCGUUACCUACGCUACGUAUGUAAUGGGAAUGUAACUGUUAA
rnacentral:ncRNA from 1 species